rnacentral:rRNA from 1 species
AUACGGAGGGUGCAAGCGUUACUCGGAAUCACUGGGCGUAAAGGACGCGUAGGCGGGUUGGUAAGUCAGGUGUGAAAUCCUACAGCUUAACUGUAGAACUGCACUUGAAACUACCAACCUAGAGUAUGGGAGGGGGAGAUGGAAUUAGUGGUGUAGGGGUAAAAUCCGUAGAUGUCACUAGGAAUACCGAAAGCGAAGGCGAUCUCCUGGAACAUAACUGACGCUAAGGCGUGAAAGCGUGGGGAGCAAACAGGAUUAGAAACCCCAGUAGUCC